AGGGUCCUUAAAGGUCACAGAACCACAGAAUGUGUUGGGCUGAAUGGGUCCUUGAAGGCCAAAGAACCAUUGAAUGUGUUGGGUUGAAUGGGUCCUUGAAGGUCACAGAACCAUAGAAUGUGUUGGGUUGAAUGGGUCCUUGAAGGUUACAGAACCAUAGAAUGUGUUGGGUUGAAUGGGUCCUUGAAGGUCACAGAACCAUAGAAUGUGGUGGGUUGAAUGGGUCCUUAAAGGUCACAGAACCACAGAAUGUGUUGGACUGAAUGGGUCCUUGAAGGUCACAGAACCAUAGAAUGUGUUGGGUUGAAUGGGUCCUUGAAAGCCAAAGAACCCCAGAAUGUGGUGGGUUGAAUGGGUCCUCGAAGGUAACAUAACCAUACAAUCUGUAGGACUGAAUGGGUCCUUGAAGGUCACAGAACCAUCGAAUGUGUUGGGUUGAAUGGGUCCUUGAAGGUCACAUAACCAUACAAUCUGUAGGACUGAAGGGUCCUUGCAGGUCACAGAAC